CGAAUACAAGGUUGGUCGUUGUACACCCGAGUCGUGAGGUAACCGUGAGGGGCAGCCGCCUAAGGUGGGAUAGAUGAUUGGGGUGAAGUCGUAACAAGGUAGCCGUAUCGGAAGGUGCGGCUGGAUCACCUCCUUUCUAAGGAUAAGGAACUGCGCAUUGGUCUUGUUUAGUCUUGAGAGGUCUUGUGGGGCCUUAGCUCAGCUGGGAGAGCGCCUGCUUUGACGCAGGAGGUCAGCGGUUCGAUCCCGCUAGGCUCCAUUGGUGAGAGAUCACCCAGUAAUGCACAUUGAAAAUUGAAUAUCUAUAUCAAAUAGUAACAAGAAAAUAAACCGAAAACGCUGUAGUAUUAAUAAGAGUUUAUGACUGAAAAGGUCAGAAAAUAAGGUUAAGUUAAUAAGGGCGCACGGUGGAUGCCUUGGCACUAGGAGCCGACGAAGGACGUGACAACGACGAUAUGCCUUGGGUAGCUGUAAGUAGCGAUGAUCCAGGGAUUUCCGAACGGGGAAAACCCACAAAGUUGGGGGAAAUUUUCCCACACCCGGGAGGGUGGUGUGUUCCCCCUUCCCUCCCCCCGACCCAAGCCCCCCCUCCGGCCGGUUUCGAAAUUUCCCUAUGUUCGUCUGACUUUCUAGAGAAUAAACUAAUGGGGGGUGCGGGGUGUGGUAUUUUUUGAUUUUGUUCUUGAACGGGUGUGAGGGAACGCGUUUAUUAUUUUUAAGGUGAAUGACUCACUUUUCGCGCCGCGGCAGGGCGCGCGCCUAACGUGAGCAGGUAUAUGUAGAAAAAGACAGGACGAUGCUCCUCCUGAUGAUUACGAGCCGUGUUUUAUGCGCAGCCGUGACUGUUUGUUAUGUUAUGUAGUAUCGGUCUUUUUUUUGCCCGCAUGCCCGCGGGUGCGGUGGCGAGUGACGAGCUUGAUGCAUGAUUCAGUACCACGGUCAAGGA
rnacentral:misc_RNA from 1 species